rnacentral:rRNA from 1 species
AGGUCUUCGGACCUAGUGGCGCACGGGUGAGUAACAUGUGGGAAUCUACCUGAAGGUUCGGAAUAACUGCGGGAAACUGUAGCUAAUACCGGAUGUGUCUGCAAAGAGAAAGAUUUAUCGCCUUCAGAUGAGCCCGCACUAGAUUAGCUAGUUGGUGAGGUAAUUGCUCCACCAAGGCUACGAUCUAUAGCUGAUUUGAGAGGAUGAUCAGCCACACUGGGACUGAGACACGGCCCAGACUCCUACGGGAGGCAGCAGUAGGGAAUAUUGGACAAUGGGGGAAACCCUGAUCCAGCAAUGCCGCGUGAGUAAAGAAGGCCUUCGGGUUGUAAAACUCUUUCAUCAAUGAUGAUAAUGACAUUAGUUGAAGAAGAAGCUCCGGCUAACUUCGUGCCAGCAGCCGCGGUAAUACGAAGGGGGCUAGCGUUGUUCGGAAUCACUGGGCGUAAAGCGUAUGUAGGCGGAUCAAAAAGUUAGAUGUGAAAUCCCUGGGCUCAACCCAGGAACUGCAUUUAAAACUAGUGAUCUAGAAUUUGGUAGGGGUUAGUAGAAUUUCCAGUGUAGAGGUGAAAUUCGUAGAUAUUGGAAAGAAUACCAGUGGCGAAGGCGACUAACUGGCCCAUUUUUGACGCUGAGAUACGAAAGCGUGGGUAGCAAACAGGAUUAGAUACCCUGGUAGUCCACGCAGUAAACGAUGAGUGCUAGUCGCUGGGACAAUAGUUUCAGUGUCGAAGCUAACGCAUUAAGCACUCCGCCUGGGAAGUACGGUCGCAAGAUUAAAACUCAAAUAAAUUGACGGGGGCCCGCACAAGCGGU